rnacentral:tRNA from 1 species
GGUGGCUCAUUGGUAGAGUGCUUGCCUUGCAUGCAUGAGGCCUUGGGUUUGAUUCCUCAGCACCA